rnacentral:rRNA from 1 species
AACGAACGCUGGCGGCAUGCCUAACACAUGCAAGUCGGACGAGACCUUCGGGUCUAGUGGCGCACGGGUGCGUAACGCGUGGGAACCUGCCCUUAGGUUCGGAAUAACUCCCCGAAAGGGGUGCUAAUACCGGAUAAUGUCUUCGGACCAAAGAUUUAUCGCCUUUGGAUGGGCCCGCGUUGGAUUAGCUAGUUGGUAGGGUAAAAGCCUACCAAGGCGACGAUCCAUAGCUGGUCUGAGAGGAUGAUCAGCCACACUGGGACUGAGACACGGCCCAGACUCCUACGGGAAGCAGCAGUGGGGAAUAUUGGACAAUGGGCGAAAGCCUGAUCCAGCAAUGCCGCGUGAGUGAUGAAGGCCUUAGGGUUGUAAAGCUCUUUUACCCGGGAUGAUAAUGACAGUACCGGGAGAAUAAGCUCCGGCUAACUCCGUG